UCCUGGUUAGCUCAGUUGGUAGAGUGCUCCACUGGAAAUGGAGAGGUGCCUGUUUCUACACCAAGAG
rnacentral:tRNA from 1 species